GCAGUCGUGGCCGAGUGGUCAAGGCGAUGGACUAAAAAUCUCCCCACACAGGUUCGAAUUCUGUCGACUGCG
rnacentral:tRNA from 2 species